GUGUUCACUUGGUAGCACUUAUAAUAAAAUUGAAAAUACACAGAAAAGGUUCACAUGGCCCCCGCAAGGAAUGGUAUGAAAAUUUGUAAAGCAUUUUGUAGUUUU